UUUUUCUUUGUGGUGUUUUUCCCCGUUUAUAAUAAAGUUUAUUUAAUUGAAUACCUUGAAGACUUUGAAUCAAUUUGAAAAAGAGACCUGAAAUUUGCGUUUUGUUGGCAUUGGGCAUUGGUACAACUGGAAGCAGAAAGGGUGAAGAGAAAAUGUAAACAAUGCACGAAUUUCUGUGUAACAAAAUUUUCGGUUCUGAAACUAAUUUACAUUCAAUGCUUCGUUCUUUGGCAUAUGCAGCAUGCUACAAAGAAAAUGCGGAAAAAAUAAGAAAUUUUCAUCUACCACAGUAUUUUGCCUUUACUGGUUAGCAUACUCAGAGAUAACUACCUAUACUUCGUACGAUAACAGCUGUAAGAAAUAUGGAUCUUAAAACAAUGCUUUUCACGAAAGAAGAGGAAAACAAUGUUAAGACUGACGGCUGUUACGAUGCUCAGUAUGAUUUCUGUUUCAAAAGCUCAAGGAAAAAAAAAGAAAAAGGGCGCACAUGCUUCCAUUGGUAGCUCAUAGAUUGACUUUCCCUUAAUACUUGCUUCAUGUGCAUUUCAUUACUUAAAGCAUCUGCAGGUGCAUGCUCUUUCAAAUAAGCGAACUACUGUGCAUUCCGCAGUGGGGAAUGCUUACUAGAAUCUGGCUUCCAUCCUUAGUAUGUUUGUGUGCCAAGGACUGUUACAGAAAUUGAGCGAUGACGUCUUCUCUCCUGCCAUCCAUGGAUGAGGUCCCAAGUUCUGGGUAACCAGUAACUCAUUUUGGAAAAGUACAUCAUAAAUUUGUGUGUUGAUUCAGCUAAUAAAGAUGAAUGAACUAUAUUGCUGAGGCUGAGACCAAUUCAAAGUUUUUUUUGGGGUGGCAUUCCAAUGAUGAGCUUCUCUGUAUGUGUUUGAGGGCAAAGCCAGACAAUCUACCAUCUGAGAAAUUUAUCAUUCUACGUGUGGUUAUUAAUUAACAAAAAAGGCUGUUUUGUUAUGAUGAGGGGAUCACAACACAGAGAACGAGUGUCCUGGAUGUAUCAAGUAAGUUCGGAUAUUUGUUUUUUAUGGAACAAAGCAGGUAGAGGUCAAUGUUGUAGAUUUACAUCAUGUCAUAUGUGAUAUUCUCCUGAGCAGGAGUAAUAAAUGAAAAUAAUUAAACCAAGCACUGGGAGUGAACUGUAAUUGAGACCUCAAUAAGGACAAGGAAAAAAUACAAUUAAAAGAUAAAUAUGUACCCUUAUCUGACUUACAGACUUACAGAAUUGUCAGCUACAAUUUUUUUUCAAACACGGUACAAUCUUUGACCCAAUGUUACCUUUUGUAAGUUGGAGCUUUCUGGGAAGUAGUUUGAGAGGCAAGUAAGUCUCAUUUUAGUGUAUAAACAUAAGAGUCAGAAAAAUUACAAGAAUACUUUAUAAACUUAAAGUAACUAUGUACAAUAUUUAGUAUUUAUUCAUAAGGUCUUCAAGGCAUGAUUGUUUUCAUUUUAACUAUUAUGGCUUAGAUAUAGACCAACUUUUAAAUUCUAGUUUUUUGAUGCAGGACCAACUCCAUCAAUUUGGUAGUCUUUUAAAAAUGUGAACUGUAUAAGAAGUUUUCUUGUUACUGUAUUUAUUGUAUGACUCAACCAGCCAGUGCACUAUUUUCCAGUGAUGCCCCUGUUUGUUUUAGUGGUAAGAAAACAAUGGGUUGAAAACAACAACCAUGAGCUGGAUUUUUAUGCUAACUUUUCAAACCCAAAUUUUGUACAGAUAGAGUAUGUUUGGUGUUUGGAAAUUUGUGAUUAAUUCUAGACACACUAAAGACCAUAGCUUUGUCUAAAUGUUAUCUCUGACAAAUACUCUUGGUGUUUUAGUAUCUUUUACUUCAUUUGUACAAUAUUUCAUUCAAUUAUUCUGUUGUAUGCAGAUAACAUUUGUUUAAAAUGGAGGAAGAAGGGAAGGAGAGAGUUUACGAUUAACAUAUGAAAAAAAAUGGAUUUAGUACUGUUAGAAAGAAAUAGAGGCAUAAGCGCAGGAGAACAAUGGACAAAAGUUUUGAAUGGAAUGUUAAAUAUGAACUACUUCUUUAAUUAUAAGAUCUACUAUACAAUUUUAGACACAGUUUUGUAUCUCAGAUCGAAGUGGUUUUCAGUCUAAUUGUUCCCCAACCAGCAAUCAGAUGGUUUAGGUAUUUAACAUUCCUAAUGUAAUUUUGUUUCCACAGAAUGAAACUUGAUUCCUUAAGGAAAUUGGGCUUCUAUUUGGAACAGCACUUUCUUGUGUCAGACAAUCUGAUUACAAGGGGCAACUAGAAAUGCAACAUAGCCAUUCAAUCUGUUAGCUGUGCAAAGCUCAACCAUUCUAUUAAUUUACCUCUCCGAUUGAAGAGAUGAUGUAUGUAAAGAACAUAAAUUUUAUUACAGUAAAUGAGUAGAGAGAUUGGAAUGUGGAAUAUGCAUGAAUAUACAUUACACUAAUGACAAUGCUCAUCCUUAAGUCAUUGUAUUAAUUUUUCCAAAUGUCAGUGACCCUUUUUUUUUCUCUUUUUUUUGGAGCGAAAUCAAUGUGAAAUUAAGUUGGUGAACUGACUUGAAUGAGAGAAAAUAAUCAGAAAACUUUCAGAGUAUUUUCCAUUUUCUGAGUGUCUGUCCACAAAGACUUACUCUCAAAUUAAGGAAAGACAACUUUUGAAGCAAUUAGCAUCUACGAUCGAUAUGUGAUUGUCAUUUAUCAACAUGAAUAUUUACUAAAAACGUUUUGUAAAAGAUAUGAUAUGCAUUUUCCAAGCAUUCCAUAGAACUCACUGCUCACAUUCUUAGCUUAUAUACAAAAUGUUGAGGAUAUAGAGUGAGAGUGCCUACUCUACAAGUGGUCCUUUCAUUCUUACAAGGAAGAGCAGUUUUAUCCAAUAUUUACAUUCAUUUCUACAUUAUUUACUAAAAUAGAGGGUGAAAAUAAGACGAAGUUUUAGAAUUUACAUUUGUAUUGCUGGGAAGGUGUGUCAGUCAUAGAUAGACUAUUCAAAGAGGAAAGAUAAAUAUUUUUAUAUUUUUAUCUAACUAAGGGUCUCAUGAUGAAUGUGUACUUGAGACAAAAAUGUGUAGAUGGGUAAGUGCAAAAACUUGGGCUCAUUAAUUUGAUGAAUUAUGUAGUAUUGGUGAUUUGACUGGUCAAUACACUGCCAUUGUCCCAUUCAUUCCCCGGUUAGUUUGUAUCUCCUCAUAGGAACUCUGACUGUAACCAAUGUGUUUUCAUUAAAUGAAUUUUUGAAAAUAA